rnacentral:tRNA from 1 species
GCUCUUUCUGUGGCGCAAUUGGUUAGCGCGUUUGGCUGUGAACCACAUGGUUGGUGGUUCAAGCCCACCCAGGGACG